GUGCUUAAACCUUGCUUGCUCUAAAUAACUUUUGAAUAUGAAUGUAGUCAGUACAGAUUAUUAAACACAGAUCAUCAGGAUGAAUUAGAUGGUGUGAAUUUCAUUUGAAAGAUAAAAAACCUGGUCUGAAGUGUUGUGCAGGUAAUAAAUAAUAAAUAGGCGAAGCAUAAGAAAAGCUCUGGCAUUGACUUUAGAUCUAAUGCUCUUUCUACUAUAAGACAUAAUAAUCAUUUUGGGGACCAAUAAACAUACUUAUAGGCCACUGGCUAUUACAGUGUAUUACAGGCUUCAGAUAUAGAGGCCCUGCAAGUAUAGAGGAGUUCUUAAAUCUUUAUUUUACUGUCACUGGAGGUCUAUUUCAUAGCUUAAAAAUUCCAUCAUUGCUAACAGACAUUGUUCACAAGAGACCUAAUUCACCUUCCAUCAUUUUGAAAUAAAAUAGUGUGUAAUUUGAAGUCCAUUUCAAAAAUUGGGAUGACUAAGAAUGGGGUGGCAAAGCAUGAAAAGGCAUCAUGGUCAAAAGUAUUAAUAUGCUUCCUAAAGGCAAAAAGAUAAAUUCUUUUCCAAAUAUUACUGCUAAUAUUCAUGCCUAGAGUAGCUAUGUAUAAGCAAUCCUUGCGAAGCUUCUCUUCCUCUCGUCAUAGGAAAUAGACUUUAUAUACUUCUUCAGGUGAUGGCAUUACUCCCUUCCCAGUCAAUCCUUUUAGGUUUAACACCAGGGGAAAGUAAAAUCAUGAUAUUUAAAAUGCUGAACCCACUGGUACAGACAUGCCAUGGAUAUUCUAUCUUCUCUUUUUGGAAAUCAGGAGUUAAAUGGUAACUUUCAGGAACACAGCAGAUUUUCCCUCUCAUCUCUAUCCAAGGUUUAUAAUCUGAAACCAAAAGGCAGAGAAAGUAUUUCAAGGUAAUUUCUCACUUCAAAAGAGUCUUUAACACCAAAAGGAUAGUUCCCCUGGGAUGAGGUCCAGCUCUCUCAGGAAUUUUCUGAAGGUAAUGUUCCCCCAGAGCCCUCCAGUUGCAGUGAAUCUGAGAAUAAGAGAAUCUCUUUAAUGAAUGUGCUGUGAGAACCCAGAACACCUGGACACAAUGAGGCAAAAGAUCCAAACAUGUCUUCCUUUCAUUUUUGUCUCCUGAGAUUUGCCACUUCACAGAAGCCACAAUGUCAUCCUCCCUCCAUCCCUGGCUCACAGGGGAGAUCAUUCCAGAUGCAAUCUGAAAGUGACAUCUGUACAGGACUGCCCAUGGCCCCACCUACCUGGUAGAGCUGGGAGUAUAGCUCAGUGAUCCUAGCCUCCAUUGAGAAUUAGAGCACAUAUUGCCAGAUACUUAGCCUUUUCUUCCUUUUCUUUUAAGGACUACCACUAGUCCCACCAAGUCCAUCUUAUUGUCCUCACUCCGAAUUUAGACAAUCAUUUUAAUUAACAUACUCCUUUUUUUGAAACAUUACAGAAUUAAUUAAGAUUCUGUAAUAUAUCCUUAACCUUCACAGAGUAAAAUAUAAAUUUUAAAUUCUCAAAUGAAAAAUUUCAUGCUUCAUAAAAUAUAGCAUUCCAAAAUAUUUUACAGCUAUUUCUACUGACUCAGUUAAAUGAAUACUCAAUGUUUUCCUUUUUUGUUCAAAAUGUGACCUUAUAUUUUAGGGACUGUAGUCCACGUCUAAAAGGUUGAUAAUUAGAGAGAAACUAGGAAAGGAUUCAUUGAUGACGUGAUGUUAGAGACAUUCAUCAAAUUAUACUGGCAACAAAUACAGAUAGAGGUAGAAGGAAAAAUAGAAGAAAAGGUAUAGGGCCUAUUGGGGAAAUGAAAACUAGCCCAGGUGGCUGCAGGGUAGCAUUUUAUAAAAUAAAGCAUGUAUUCUGGGGAUUCAGCAGAAGUUUCUGUAUAAUGAGACACACUUCUGCUUCUUUGGAUGUUCUGUAAAUACAAAUGGAGGUAACAUUUACUGAGUCCAAAAGGGCAAGAACAAUAACUUACACAUGUUAGUUUUAUCCUUGAAAUAAAGCAUCAUCUCUCAUGUUUAUUUAUACAGUUUCCAUUAGAGUCUUGUUUCUCUUCAUAUCAUAUAAAUCUUUCAUAUUUUAUUAUUUAUACUGGUGCUAGUACAGUAAUUAGUAAAAAGGAAAAAAAAAACCUUUAACUUUUAUAGAUUUUCUUUAACAGUGCUCUAAAUUUCUUCAGACUAAAAUGAAACCUUCAUAGACAAACUAUGGGAUGUUUUCAAAUCUGUAAGUUCUUUUUAAAACAAACUGAUGUUUUACUUUGUUUGAAAAUCGAAUAUGUACUGCACAUACAGCAUGAGGACUAAGGAGACUACAUGGCAGGGGGCAUCAUCUUUUUGGAAUAUAUAAUGGAAGAGAGUCUAUCCAAAUCCCUUUCUCACUACAGGAGGGAGGGUGGGAAUGUAGCUGGAGACAUUCAAGAGAAUCUUGUGAAGAGUAGGAGUGACAGCAAGAAAGGAUAUAUGAAUGUUUUUUUCCUUAACUAGACACUGAUGCAGAAGCACAAUAUGCAAUGCAGGGCAACAAAGAUGAGACAGCAGAGUAACCUCAAUCCUCUGAGUUCUUUAAGAUAGGGGUUCCUAGGGCAGAACAAACAUUAUAGAAUUUCUCAUUUCUGGGUUUUAAAGCAUCCCAAGUGUACCUGGUCCCACCCAUCUCUAAAGUAAUAGGUGUAAGUAACAAGAAACUGCAGAAUCAACAUCUGGCAGUGUGAGCUGAAGGUGUGGAGAAGAGGAGCAGAUUGAUGUGGUCAAGCCAAAACUAUGUGGAAGUUCUUGGGUCCUAAAAUGAUGCCAUAAAGGCAUCCUACAAAAGUAUAAUUAUCUGAUUUAUUGCCCAAAAUAUGACAAAUAGUAAACUGGAAGGAAUGCUGGAACAAUCGAUAAAAUCAUAGAUUACUGCGAUUAACCAGGACAUAUUUCCACAAUAUAAAGAAAACACAGCAUCUGAAUGCCCGUUACAGAGAGGAAGGACACCAGCAACCAGUCAUUUCACCUAGGGAGACCACAACUGUGAAUAAGAAGAGAUUAAACUUCAUCUGGUUAUGUAGAUAUGCAUCAUCUUAAAAGAAGGAAGCACAUUUGUCAAAAGUGGACCUUCCUCCAUUCUAAUGUGCCUUGAACCACAAGUUUAGCUCACACAGAGGGAGGAGAAUAAGUUAUAAGAUUACCAAAUUAAUCAAUUAAAAUAUUAUAUUUUAUUUAUUUAUUAAAUAAAUAUCCUUAUUAUUUACUGGAAUGCAUUACAAUUUUUCUUACUCAUAUAAGAGCUCUUAUAGAGCACAUUUUUUCAUAUCUCUGGGUUAUAUACAAAGUAUAUUCACAUCAAUUUGUGUCUUCAUACAUGUACUUUGGAUAAUAAUGAUCAUCACAUUCCACCAUCAUUUAUAACCCCGUACCCCCUCCCUUCCCCUCCAACCCCUCUUCCCUAUCUAUAGUAUGUCUAUUCCUCCCAUGUUCCUUAUUCCUAUCCCACUAUGAAUCAGUUUCCUUAUAUCAGAGAAAACAUUUGGCAUUUGGUUUUUGGGGAUUGGCUAACGUUACUUAGCAUUUUAAAACUUACCUGGACUCUGAUUCAUGGACUAACGUGACUUAAUAUUUAUGUUGAAUUGGAAAUGUAAUUCAGUAAAGUUGAACUCAGACAAAGGGAGAAAUAGAUAGUUCAUUCCAAAUAAUAUAAAUCACAAUUAGUCAAGCCAAUAUGCCACUGACAAGUGGUGUAGAGAGUGAAAAAUGAGUUGAAGAGAGAACUAGAGGGGGCUUUUUGAGAUGAACUAAGGCUUAUUUGCAGCUGAUAAUAGAAAUAUAUAGUAACAAAUUUGAAUCACUAAAGUAUCACUCUUAAUGGUCAGAAAAGAAAUAAAUUGCCAUAAAUUAACCUAUUU
rnacentral:lncRNA from 1 species